rnacentral:rRNA from 1 species
AGGGUUUGAUCAUGGCUCAGAACGUACGCUGGCGGCACGCCUAACACAUGCAAGUCGAACGAAGUAGCAAUACUUAGUGGCAGACGGGUGAGUAACAUGUAGGUAUCUGCCCUUUGGCCUGGAAUAACACGAGGAAACUUGUGCUAAUACCGGAUAAGUCUUUACGGAGAAAGCUUUAUGCACCAUUGGAUGAGCCUGCACUUGAUUAGUUUGUUGGUGGGGUAAUGGCCUACCAAGACUGUGAUCAAUAGCUGAUUUGAGAGGAUGAUCAGCCACAUUGGGACUGAGACACGGCCCAAACUCCUACGGGAGGCAGCAGUGGGGAAUCUUGCACAAUGGAGGAAACUCUGAUGCAGCGAUGCCGCGUGAGUGAAGAAGGCCCUUGGGUUGUAAAGCUCUUUCGUCGGGGAAGAAAAUGACUGUACCCGAAUAAGAAGGUCCGGCUAACUUCGUGCCAGCAGCCGCGGUAAUACGAAGGGACCUAGCGUAGUUCGGAAUUACUGGGCUUAAAGAGUUCGUAGGUGGUUGAAAAAGUUGGUGGUGAAAUCCCAGAGCUUAACUCUGGAACUGCCAUCAAAACUUUUCAGCUAGAGUAUGAUAGAGGAAAGCAGAAUUUCUAGUGUAGAGGUGAAAUUCGUAGAUAUUAGAAAGAAUACCAAUUGCGAAGGCAGCUUUCUGGAUCAUUACUGACACUGAGGAACGAAAGCAUGGGUAGCGAAGAGGAUUAGAUACCCUCGUAGUCCAUGCCGUAAACGAUGUGUGUUAGACGUUGGAAAUUUAUUUUCAGUGUCGCAGCGAAAGCGAUAAACACACCGCCUGGGGAGUACGACCGCAAGGUUAAAACUCAAAUGAAUUGACGGGGACCCGCACAAGUAGUGGAGCAUGUGGUUUAAUUCGAAGAUACGCGCAGAACCUUACCAACACUUGACAUGUUCGUCGCGACUUUAAGAGAUUAAAGUUUUCGGUUCGGCCGGACGAAACACAGGUGCUGCAUGGCUGUCGUCAGCUCGUGUCGUGAGAUGUUGGGUUAAGUCCCGCAACGAGCGCAACCCUCACUUUUAGUUGCCAUCAUUUAGUUGGGCACUCUGAAAGAACUGCCAGUGAUAAGCUGGAGGAAGGUGGGGAUGACGUCAAGUCCUCAUGGCCCUUACGUGUUGGGCUACACACGUGCUACAAUGGUAUCUACAACAGGAAGCAAAACUGCGAGGUUAAGCAAAUCCUUAAAAGAUACCUCAGUUCGGAUUGCACUCUGCAACUCGAGUGCAUGAAGCUGGAAUUACUAGUAAUCGCGGAUCAGCGCGCCGCGGUGAAUACGUUCCCGGGUCUUGUACACACCGCCCGUCACACCAUGGGAGUUGGUUCUACCUUAAGGCAAGGUUUCAAACCCUUGACCACGGUAUAGUCAGCGACUGGGGUGAAGUCAUAACAAGGUAACCGUA